rnacentral:rRNA from 1 species
UACGGAGGGGGCUAGCGUUGUUCGGAAUUACUGGGCGUAAAGCGCGCGUAGGCGGAUCUGCAAGUCGGGGGUGAAAUCCCGAGGCUCAACCUCGGAACUGCCUUCGAUACUGCGGGUCUCGAGUCCGGGAGAGGUGAGUGGAAUUCCUAGUGUAGAGGUGAAAUUCGUAGAUAUUAGGAAGAACACCAGUGGCGAAGGCGGCUCACUGGCCCCGGUACUGACGCUGAGGCGCGAAAAGCGUGGGGAGCAAACAGG